rnacentral:rRNA from 1 species
UACGUAGGGGGCAAGCGUUGUCCGGAAUCAUUGGGCGUAAAGAGCGCGUAGGCGGCCCGGUAAGUCCGUUGUGAAAGUCAAAGGCUCAACCUUUGAACGCCGAUGGAUACUGCCGGGCUAGAGUCCGGAAGAGGCGAGUGGAAUUCCUGGUGUAGCGGUGGAAUGCGCAGAUAUCAGGAGGAACACCAAUAGCGAAGGCAGCUCGCUGGGACGGUACUGACGCUGAGGCGCGAAAGCGUGGGUAGCAAACGGG